ensembl:lncRNA
UAUAGUAGAUGCUUAUUACAUGCUAAUUGGGUACCUGAUGGACAAUAUCUCUUUCUUUGGCAUUCUAUUACUAAAGUAUAUUUACAGUUAUCCUCAUAAUUGAGGACUAAGGGUGAACCAAAUAGUUUUCUGACAAACUUAACUAUAGUAGUGGUUCUCAAAUUUUAAUGUGUAGCCAAAUCAACUGGAGGUCUUGUUAAACUGUCUCCCACCCCCAGAAUUUCUGAUUCAGUAGACCUGGCACAGUUUGCUUUCUAACAAAUUCCCCAGGUAAUGCUGAUCUGUUGCUGAUGCAGGGAUCAGUUUGAGAAUGUGUGGUAUACAGUUGCUCUUUCUCAUGCAUAUGAAGAUUAGAUUAUCAGCCCACUUAAGGCUCACCCUAUCAAUAGAGUUGUGAAUUUCUUCUAGAAAAAUGAAUGCUGAUGAAAAGUACGAGAAGGAAGGAGAGAGCCUGGGAGCCAGUAGGAGAGUUAAAGUAAAGCCCAAGCCAGAGUAUCCUCCUCUCCCACUAAAAGACAAACGCUGGCAAUGGGAAAAUCUCCACUUUAGAGACGGCGAGAUCUCACCUCAGAGUUGGAAAGAGCUCCGCACACAGUGGGCCACCGGCAGGACCUGAGGAAGAACCUGGAGAUACCUGGAGAACCUGAAACAAGAGCAGCCUUUAGCUCUCCUUCCCUUCUCCAGCAUCUAUCAUUUGAGAGUGCAGAAAAGAUGGGACAGCAUCUGAGG